UACGGAGGGUGCGAGCGUUGUCCGGAAUCAUUGGGCGUAAAGGGCGCGUAGGUGGCGGGACAAGCGUGCGGUGAAAGCUCGGGGCUCAACCCCGAGUCGGCCGUGCGAACUGUUUUGCUUGAGCACUGUAGAGGCAGGCGGAGUUCCGGGUGUAGCGGUGGAAUGCGUAGAGAUCCGGAAGAACACCGGUGGCGAAGGCGGCCUGCUGGGCAGUAGCUGACACUGAGGCGCGACAGCGUGGGGAGCAAACAGG
rnacentral:rRNA from 1 species